rnacentral:piRNA from 1 species
UCAUCGAGAUAUUAAGGACUGG